rnacentral:rRNA from 1 species
GAUUAACGCUAGCGGCAGGCAUAAUACAUGCAAGUUGAACGGCAGCACAGGUAGCAAUACUGGGUGGCGAGUGGCGCACGGGUGCGUAACACGUAUGCAACCUACCCUAUACAGGCGAAUAACCUUUAGAAAUGAGGGCUAAUACGCCGUAGUAUUACAGAUGGGCAUCUAUUUGUAAUUAAAGAUUUAUCGGUAUAGGAUGGGCAUGCGUCCCAUUAGUUAGUUGGUAAGGUAACGGCUUACCAAGACGAUGAUGGGUAGGGGAUCUGAGAGGACUUACCCCCACACUGGUACUGAGACACGGACCAGACUCCUACGGGAGGCAGCAGUAAGGAAUAUUGGGCAAUGGCCGCGAGGCUGACCCAGCCAUGCCGCGUGCAGGAAGACGGCCUUAUGGGGUGUAAACUGCUUUUAUACGGGAAUAAUAGAGUGUACGCGUACAUUUAUGCAAGUAUCGUAUGAAUAAGCAUCGGCUAACUCCGU